rnacentral:snoRNA from 1 species
UGCCAUUGUAUAGCCCUUUCAAUUUUGGAAACUAGCGUAUGUGGCAUUAUAUAAAAAAAUGCCAUAAACCAAACAAAAGUUUGUGUACUUUUCCUGUCUUUGAAUUUAAUAUUUUGAGUCUAGGAGCUGCAUAAGUAAUGGUC